AGAGCGAACGCUGGCGGCGUGCUUAACACAUGCAAGUCGAACGCGCAGCAGUUUGUAGCAAUACAGAUUGUGGGCGCGUGGCGAACGGGUGCGUAACACGUGGAUAACCUUCCUUCAGGUGGGGAAUAACCCAGUGAAAAUUGGGCUAAUACCGCAUAACAUGACGAUGGCACAUGCCGUUGUCUUCAAAGGCGCAAGUCGCCAGAAGAGGGAUCCGCGGCCGAUUAGCUAGUUGGCGAGGUAAUGGCUCACCAAGGCAAUGAUCGGUAGCCGGACUGAGAGGUUGGCCGGCCACACUGGAACUGAGACACGGUCCAGACUCCUACGGGAGGCAGCAGUGGGGAAUCUUGCACAAUGGACGAAAGUCUGAUGCAGCAACGCCGCGUGGGGGAUGAAGCUUUCGGAGUGUAAACCCCUUUCGACCCGGAAGAAGCCGCAAGGGUUGACGGUACGGGUAUAAGAAGCCCGGCUAACUACGUGCCAGCAGCCG
rnacentral:rRNA from 1 species